UACGGGAGGCAGCAGUGGGGAAUAUUGCACAAUGGGCGCAAGCCUGAUGCAGCCAUGCCGCGUGUAUGAAGAAGGCCUUCGGGUUGUAAAGUACUUUCAGUCGUGAGGAAGGUGUUAAGGUUAAUAACCUUAGCAAUUGACGUUAGCGACAGAAGAAGCACCGGCUAACUCCGUGCCAGCAGCCGCGGUAAUACGGAGGGUGCGAGCGUUAAUCGGAAUUACUGGGCGUAAAAGGGCACGCAGGCGGUUAAUUAAGUUGGAUGUGAAAUCCCCGGGCUUAACCUGGGAAUGGCAUUCAAGACUGGUUAGCUAGAGUCUUGUAGAGGGGGUAGAAUUCCAUGUGUAGCGGUGAAAUGCGUAGAGAUGUGGAGGAAUACCGGGUGGCGAAAGGCGGCCCCUGGGACAAAGACUGACGCUCAUGUGCGAAAGCGUGGGGAGCAAACAGGAUUAGAUACC
rnacentral:rRNA from 1 species